AAAGGCAGCAGGGGAGGAUAAGGGCGGAGCCUCAGGUGAGUCAGUUAAGCAGAGACGAUCCGGUUCAGUCAGUAAAGAAAAGAGCGCAUCGACCUGAAUCAGGGUGGAUUUUAUUCUGGGAGAAACAGUUUUUCAGGAAGGCAGAUGAAACCACAGCAGUGUCUCCUUCACCCAGCUGUGUCUCUGUGAGAGUGACAUGUUUAAAGUUCAUCCUGAAAGUUUAACUAAUUAUCCUGGACUACCAGAGCAAAGACUGAGUCCAGAAAAUGGAAGAUCUGGAUCAAAAGAAGCACAAAGCAGAAACUCCAGGAUCCAGCUGGCCUUCUAUGAGGAGUGACUGGACCAAAGAUCACCCUCAAUACUCCCAGCCAGAACCUGGACCUUCAG